GAUUAACGCUGGCGGCGUGCCUAACACAUGCCAGUCGAGCGGCAGCGAGUUUUACACUGACUUCUGGAAGCUUCUAGUUGAAAGAGAAGAUUUAUUCAAGAAUUUUGUGUAAAAUGUCGGCGAGCGGCGGACGGCUGAGUAACGCGUGGGAACGUACCCCAAAGUGAGGGAUAACGCAUCGAAAGGUGUGCUAAUACCGCAUAUGGUCUUCGGAUUAAAGCCUUCGGGCGCUUUGGGAACGGCCUGCGUAAGAUUAGAUAGUUGGUGGGGUAAUGGCCUACCAAGUCGACGAUCUUUAACUGGUUUGAGAGGAUGAUCAGUCAGACUGGAACUGAGACACGGUCCAGACUCCUACGGGAGGCAGCAGUGAGGAAUCUUCCACAAUGGGCGAAAGCCUGAUGGAGCAACGCCGCGUGCAGGAUGAAGGCCUUCGGGUUGUAAACUGCUUUUAUAAGUGAGGAUUAUGACAGUAACUUAUGAAUAAGGAUCGGCUAACUACGUG
rnacentral:rRNA from 1 species